AGAACCUGGACGACAGACGCUAUUAUCAUCAAUUCUCAAAAGAGACACCAUUGUCCUUAACAAGACUGAAAUUGAUGGAGAUAUUUUAAUGAACCUAACUGAGACUACGAAAGCUUAAAGGGGUGGUUUACUGCUUUUUUUCUUUGCUUGAUUGUGUUUAUGGGGUGCAAUAUAACAUGUCUUUGUGUUUCGUUUGUUAAAAAACACCUUAUUUUUCAUAUAUAUUUCACCUUUAUUGUAAGCCGCUUUCUCCUCUGUCAUUUGAACGACCGGUUGACUUCCUGAUUCUAUGAAACCACUCCCUCAGAAACAGGCAAUGGGCUCAGAUUGGUUAGUUGGGCCAGUGUGCUGUGAUUGGCUAAACUGCGUACUGCACAUUGUCUGGAAACUUCACGCCCAUUACCUUCAUGGGCAACAGUUGCAUGUGCUGCGGUCAAAUGUAAAUAAUGGUGUCAAUAUUGCCGUAUCAGUUUGAGCCAGAAUCAGACCCAGAAAGCGGUAAUGAAGAGAGUCAAGCAGAACUUCCGCAAGCACGGCUCUUACAAACGUUUCUGAAUGGAAGUUUGCUGUUAUGAUUACAUAUAAUUUUUUGAAGUUUGUACACAUUUGUCUUAUACACACAAAAUAGCAUCAAACUAACUGGCUACUAACCAAACAGCGUUGGCUUGUGUUUACGUUCUUGAUCAAAUCGAAAAAUUACGUCAUAAAGUAUACAUGGAAAAUACAUUUACAAAAUUAGUACAUAAUUACAAAUUCGGGUCCAAAAUGUUUGUAUGCGUUUGUCAUAGACACACGAAAUAGCAUUUAACUAACUGGCUACUAAAGCCAGCGUUGGCAUUUGUUUACGUCCUUGAUAAAACUAAAAUAUUACGUCUGAAAUUAUACAUGCAAAUACAUUUAAAAUUAUUAAAUCUUACUUACAGGCUGUGGCCCAACAACUGCUGCCUCUGGUUUUAAAGUUGGAACCGCUCCAUGUUUUAGUAAUAGUUUCUGUGUGAAUCCGGCAUUGAACUCGUGUAGAUUCUGGAAGCUGUCUUCCGUAAAAUGCGCAGCACAGAGAGCUAAAUUAGGAUUGUAAUUGUCAGGAACAUAAUCAAACAUAAAUUUUAACCAUUGUUGACGAACUACAGCGUCCGUAGGAAGCCCGAACACAGAAGACCUGACAGCAGGUUGAAAAUAACACAGUUUCGACGGCAUGGCUACAACUCUCCACUAUAACGCUUCCUCUUCGACAAAGCCGCAGAACAUGGCCUUGCCCCCUUUUUUGCAUGUUCCGGAGGGAGGGGUUGAUGGGUUUAUUACGUAUGCAACCCUGGAAGUAUCUCGUUGUAGUCCCGUAUGAGUCAUUUUUGUAGGCAUUAAACUUCCUGAUUUUUAAAGGACGAUAUCUCCGCUUACGUUGAACUUUCAGCGCAGCAACUUUGCAGAUACUGUUCAUGCACCAACAGCAACAUUACACACUAUUUAAAAUGAAAAAAGUGAAAUCGCAGUAAACCACCCCUUUAAAUAUUACCAAAAAUGAAGGAUUAAGUUAAAUUCAUAAGAUUACAAAAAAACCUAAAGACUGAGAUGCCAGCAAGACCACAGACACCACAAGACUUCUUAUUGAUGUUUCACCUGGAUCAGGCUCAAGACAACAUAUUGCUUGUUUGUAGCAACAUAUUGUAGCAAUAAAAAAAAAUUAAAAAUAACUUGAGAGAAGAUAUUUUUUUCUUUGAAAGGACAAAGCAAACAAGAUCAAAAAUAAUUCAAGGUAUGCAACAGGUGAACACAACAAGAUGUCUUCAGCCCUGGUUACCAAAUACCAGUUCUUGAGAGUAAAGACUGGCAGAGGAUGUGCUUAAAAACAAAUUCUAAAAGAGAAAGAUCACCUUUGAUUAAUGUUGAAGAAAUAAAUGACACACUCCUUGUGUCGCCCUCUUUUUCUGCAGAAGUCCCAGCACGAAGUGUGUGUGUGUCACUCCCUGGAUUCAACCUGUCUCGUCUACCUGUAUUCCUGGAAGAAGAAAAGAGUUAUCACCACCUUAUCAUCCUCACUAGAAUUGCUGUUUACAAGACAUCUACUCACCUCUCAAGACCUCUCGAUUCACCUGUGUGCUGAACCUGUUUUAAUAAACCACCUCAUACUCACCCAUCACCUUUGUGUCCGAGUCCGUCCAUAACAGAUACUUACAUUUCUAUUAUCAAGUGAGAAUGUUUCAUGUAUAUGUUUAUUUUUAUAUUAUUUAUUUAUUUUGUAGAUGGAUGAUCUAUCUGGCCAAGAUUUGUAUCAAAAGAGGCCAAGGCCAGUAGGGCUAAGUGGCACAGACAGUGAUCAACGAUCAAAGAAGAGCAGCUGGGGUAGAUAUUGUUACUGAGUUGAAUGAAGAAGAAGAAAAACAAAUCUGCGUUGGUUUGGCACACAAAGGUCUCAAUGGUUGCUGCUGUUCUGCUGUUUCCACUUCUAUUAAAGGAGAGUCAGAGAUCUCUUCAUGUCAUCAGUGAGGAAACACAUACACCCAACACUGCUGUUUAUAAAGGGACGUGCCUUGGAUGAAGAGUCUCUUUUAGAAAUAAUGAUGGAAGGGGAGAAGGAGGUCUGAGAAGUAGACGAUGUGAACACGGCUCUACACUUCAUCUUCAACACUGAAUAUGUUUCAAAGUUGAGAGACACCCUGACAAACUGUUUAAUGUAUCAUAAUGCCAAAACCAAUAUGCCAGCCACAAUGGCCAGUUUUUUUUAAUUAAAUUAAUGUAUAUGUAU